rnacentral:rRNA from 1 species
GACGAACGCUGGCGGCGUGCCUAAUACAUGCAAGUAGAACGCUGAAGGAGGAGCUUGCUCUUCUGGAUGAGUUGCGAACGGGUGAGUAACGCGUAGGUAACCUGCCUGGUAGCGGGGGAUAACUAUUGGAAACGAUAGCUAAUACCGCAUAACAGUAGAUGUUGCAUGACAUUUACUUAAAAGGUGCAAUUGCAUCACUACCAGAUGGACCUGCGUUGUAUUAGCUAGUUGGUGGGGUAACGGCUCACCAAGGCGACGAUACAUAGCCGACCGGAGAGGGUGAUCGGCCACACUGGGACUGAGACACGGCCCAGACUCCUACGGGAGGCAGCAGUAGGGAAUCUUCGGCAAUGGACGGAAGUCUGACCGAGCAACGCCGCGUGAGUGAAGAAGGUUUUCGGAUCGUAAAGCUCUGUUGUAAGAGAAGAACGAGUGUGAGAGUGGAAAGUUCACACUGUGACGGUAUCUUACCAGAAAGGGACGGCUAACUACGUG